GACGAACGCUGGCGGCGUGCUUAACACAUGCAAGUCGAACGGAAAGGCCCUGCUUGCAGGGUACUCGAGUGGCGAACGGGUGAGUAACACGUGGGUGAUCUGCCCUGCACUUCGGGAUAAGCCUGGGAAACUGGGUCUAAUACCGGAUAGGAGCCAUUUUUAGUGUGAUGGUUGGAAAGUUUUUUCGGUGUAGGAUGAGCUCGCGGCCUAUCAGCUUGUUGGUGGGGUAAUGGCCUACCAAGGCGGCGACGGGUAGCCGGCCUGAGAGGGUGGACGGCCACAUUGGGACUGAGAUACGGCCCAGACUCCUACGGGAGGCAGCAGUGGGGAAUAUUGCACAAGGGGCGCAAGCCUGAUGCAGCGACGCCGCGUGGGGGAUGACGGCCUUCGGGUUGUAAACUCCUUUCGCUAGGGACGAAGCUUUUGUGACGGUACCUAGAUAAGAAGCACCGGCUAACUACGU
rnacentral:rRNA from 1 species